UCCCGCAACGAGCGCAACCCCUAUUGUUAGUUGCCAUCAUUCAGUUGGGCACUCUAGCGAGACUGCCGGUAAUAAACCGGAGGAAGGUGGGGAUGACGUCAAAUCAUCAUGCCCCUUAUGACCUGGGCUACACACGUGCUACAAUGGUUGGUACAACGAGUUGCGAGUCGGUGACGGCGAGCUAAUCUCUUAAAGCCAAUCUCAGUUCGGAUUGUAGGCUGCAACUCGCCUACAUGAAGUCGGAAUCGCUAGUAAUCGCGGAUCAGCACGCCGCGGUCCGAAUACGUUCCCGGGCCUU
rnacentral:rRNA from 1 species